CCCCGGAAACAGUGUGUCAGUGUGUUAUCUGCUAAAAAGUAUCAGGAAAAAUGGAAGCCGAGAAGUUUACUGUGGCUAGGGAGAUUUGGAGUAUGCAUAUUUUAUUUCCAUUUUGUCUUACAAAGCACCUUUAUUUGUACUAUUUUUUGCUAUUAUCAGAUAUAUGUGUAUCUCCAGUUUCCAUGAGGACUCAGUUUGGAAAGGGGAAUCCAACACAGCGUUCUUUGCCCUCCUUAACUUGAAAGACCUGGAGUCUGGACUGUGCACUGUGCUAUGUGGAUACCUGCUGCUUCUUCAAAGAAUGGUACCAGUAGGUCAUAAUGCAGCUUCACUGGGGCCUGCUGUUUUGUCUGGACAAUUACACUGACAUUUCAUUUACUUCAGUAUCCUGACUUUCAUUCCUGAACAUUCUGACUGCCAUGCAAAAGCAAGGGGAUUAUAAGAGGUAUUGUGUAACUAGUUUCCUCCUGUUGGAAAACAUCUGUGAUACAUGUUGUCCAAACUCUACGUUUGGGCUGAAAAAACAGUCUGUUUACCCUGCAUGUAAGGUAUCUACAACAAAAAUUAAAUGUUGUCUAUCUUGGGCUUGCAGUUACUAGGAACACUUACUUCUUACUUGAGCAGAAAUGUUUUUAUGGUUGAAUAAUGAAUAAACACAUCAAGUUCAACAAGCGUCUCUAGUAGACUUUAAUAAAAGAGUGUAAGAAAAAACAAAAGCAUCUGUAGAAAUACAAUAGCAAGAUUUAAAAAUGUCUUACAUAUACAUGUUGGAAGAAGAGGGAAAGCCAAAGUUUAGCUAAACAAAACUGCCAGCUAGUAAAAAGUCUCAUUGAAGAGUUUCACAGUACUGUAGCAUGUGUAGACAUUUCAAUUAGUUAUCAAGCAAGUUCAGUUACAAAAAGAAGAAACCCUAAAAUUCAGGCAAGGUGGUUUUAAUCUCUGUUACAUAAGAUGUUAUUUGCCUUCAGGAAUUCACAUGAAAAGGCAGUUUAUUUUUAAUAUACAGGACUAAAAACCAUACAGCAGCACAGUUUUGUAGUUAAAACUAAAGAAAAGAACAAAGUAUGGUUAUUUAAACUUUCCCAAAAUAAGAAUUCAGACUAUGUUGAUUUGUUUGAAAAAGUGAAACAUCAUAUAUAUUUGUAUUAGCACAGAUGGAGAUUAAAAUUAUUUUACGAAAUAACUUUGGUCACCUUGGCAGUGAAUACCAACACAGGAAAAAACCCUGUAACUCCCACACACCCAAAGUACAAGGAAGAGAAUAUUUUCACAAUGCAGCCCCUUCUCUGGCAGUUUCACAUCAGCAUGGUGUCUGUGUUUUAGGCAUUCCUAUACUUCAAAUAUCACAAUGAGCACAGACAUGAAUACAGGGAGCAAGUUACAAUUUUCAAGUCUAUCCCUCAAGACACAGUGAAAUCUAGAAUGUAAGCCCAGUUAGAAAUUAGAAAAGCCCCUAUAUCUUUCAUUUCACUAUUUUCAAGUGAAGGGUGAAACAUUCUUUUGCAGUCAGACCCUGAAACAGAUCUUUUGAACUACCAUGUGAGCUUCCCCCACCCACAGAAUAAACUAUUGACUGGAGGCAAGAACAAGGAGGACAUGGAAGUGGUAACACACAUUGACAAGGGACUGAGAUACAGGAGAGAAAAGAGGAUAGAACAGCAAUGAAAGAAUGUUCUUCAGAUCUUUUUAUGAACUUCUAUUUACUAAAACAUUCCUUAAAGGGUUUCAGAAUUACCACCAUACUUGUAAUUGGUAAUUGACUCUGUACUAGGAAAGUAAUUAGACCUCCUUGAGAUUAUUGCACAAAAACCUGGCAGCAGUUUGAAAAUGCACAUCUAGAUCAGUUUCUAAAACUGACUUACAUAAUGUUUCUAAAGUACAAUAUAUAUAUAUUAUUAGAGAAUAAAAACUAAAUACAAUUGCUUAAUUUUAAAUCAAGUCCAGCACAAAAAUAUUUUAAUAUGGCAAACACCCCAGGACUUGCUGUAUGCAUCCAUAAUGUAGCUAUUUAAUCAUGAGUGUGAUCAUAUUUCCACCCCUCCCCCAAAAUGUAUAAUCUUGACAAGAAACUCAAAAUAUAAAAUAUAACAUCAAACAUUUUCUUUUAAUAUAUAUUCCCAAUUUUGUAUUUAAUGCUUAAUCUAUAAAUAUGAUCUCCAACAUAAGCAUGAUUUAUGUGGUUUUGUGUUGCUUUUAUAUUGAAAUAUCUUAUAUUAAUAAGUCCAAAGCAGUUCAUUUUUUAGUUAUAUUUCUAGUGAAAAAAAUAUUCUAUUUCUUAAGUAUCAAAACUGGAAUUUGUU